UACGUAGGGUGCGAGCGUUAAUCGGAAUUACUGGGCGUAAAGCGUGCGCAGGCGGUUUUGUAAGCCAGAUGUGAAAUCCCCGGGCUUAACCUGGGAAUGGCAUUUGGGACUGCAAGGCUUGAGUGCGGCAGAGGAGACUGGAAUUCCCGGUGUAGCAGUGAAAUGCGUAGAUAUCGGGAGGAAUACCGAUGACGAAGGCAGGUCUCUGGGCUGACACUGACGCUCAUGCACGAAAGCGUGGGGAGCAAACAGG
rnacentral:rRNA from 1 species